rnacentral:miRNA from 1 species
GAAUUCACUUUGUAGCCCAGGCUGACCUUGAAUUCACUUUGUAGCCCAGGCUGGCCUUGAACUUCAAGCAAUCCUCCUGCCUCAGCCUCCUGAGUGUUGGGAUUACAAGCGUGCCCAACCAUACCUG